rnacentral:ribozyme from 1 species
CCAAUGAAGAAAGGAAAAGAACACAAAAGAAGCAAAUGAAAGAAACACGCGCUCCGCUUGUUUUCAUUCCAUUUGUUCUUUCUGUUCUUUUCGUUCUUCAUUCACUUCUCCUCUUGUUCCCUUUGCCUUUAAAUUAAUUACAAAUGAAGUGCGUGAAUUAAAUUUAAAGGCAAAGCAAACAAGAACGUGAUGAAUGAGUUGUUCCUUUGUGUUUCUUUUGCUCACUUGAAUGGUAAUGAAAUGUAAUGUAAGCACGCAUUCAAGUGAGAAAAAGAAGAACACAAAGAGAACAACAGAAAACACCACGUUCUUUGUUUCUUUU